rnacentral:sRNA from 1 species
GGGUCCGUAGACCCCGGUCAAAAGAAAUUGACCAAACAUAACCGCCAGAGGCGGGUUGGAAGCUUCGCGUACCAAUAUAGUACAGAACUGUAUCAAUAAU